UGCGCGCUACCUGCAGUCGAACGGUAACAGGAAGAAGCUUGCUUCUUUGCUGACGAGUGGCGGACGGGUGAGUAAUGUCUGGGAAACUGCCUGAUGGAGGGGGAUAACUACUGGAAACGGUAGCUAAUACCGCAUAACGUCGCAAGACCAAAGAGGGGGACCUUCGGGCCUCUUGCCAUCGGAUGUGCCCAGAUGGGAUUAGCUUGUUGGUGGGGUAACGGCUCACCAAGGCGACGAUCCCUAGCUGGUCUGAGAGGAUGACCAGCCACACUGGAACUGAGACACGGUCCAGACUCCUACGGGAGGCAGCAGUGGGGAAUAUUGCACAAUGGGCGCAAGCCUGAUGCAGCCAUGCCGCGUGUAUGAAGAAGGCCUUCGGGUUGUAAAGUACUUUCAGCGGGGAGGAAGGGAGUAAAGUUAAUACCUUUGCUCAUUGACGUUACCCGCAGAAGAAGCACCGGCUAACUCCGUGCCAGCAGCCGCGGUAAUACGGAGGGUGCAAGCGUUAAUCGGAAUUACUGGGCGUAAAGCGCACGCAGGCGGUUUGUUAAGUCAGAUGUGAAAUCCCCGGGCUCAACCUGGGAACUGCAUCUGAUACUG
rnacentral:rRNA from 1 species